rnacentral:rRNA from 1 species
ACACGACUACAUUAGAUACCCGGGUAGUCCCAGCCCUAAACGAUACGCGUUAGGUGUAUCGGUGACCACGAGUCACCGAGGUGCCGAAGGGAAACCGUGAAACGUGCCGCCUGGGAAGUACGGUCGCAAGGCUGAAACUUAAAGGAAUUGGCGGGGAGCACCACAAGAGGUGGAGGCUGCGGUUCAAUUGGACUCAACGCCGGAAAACUCAUCGGGAGCGACAGCAGUAUGAUUGCCAGGUUGAUGACCUUGCUUGACAAGCUG